AAAGCAGGGGUGGUUGCCAUAGAUAGAUUGGGUCAUUCGUAACCAGCAAUAACCGAUGCUACUACAGCAAUAACGGAAAUAACCGAUGGUACAACAGAAACUACAGCUAUACGUGGCAGCCCCACACGCAGCUUUGUUUAACAAGCAUCACCCUUCCUUUCUUUUCAAAUGCUUUCUUAGUCAAUCAGCAGCUUAUUCGAUUCCUAUUCUUAUUAAACAUCUGAUAUAGAUGGUGGGAACAAUGAAGCAGAUUCUUCAUUCGUAGAUACCUCCGAAGCUGGUCGGCUCAUCUUUAAAAUACCUCUACAUUUCUUCUUUAUUUCCUCAACUGCUUCACCGUCACGAGUGCCUUCUUCUUCCUCUCCACCACCACAUGUUCUUUUCUUUUCCUCCACUGUCAUGUUUUUUUCUUCCACAACCUUUUCUUUUUCCACAUGAACCACAUCUUCUUCUUCUGCCUCCUUCGUCGUUUUAGAUGAUAUCUUUAUCUCUAUCGUCUCAACUACUACUCCAAGACGUUGGCGACACAGAUGUUAGUAUGCAUUUCAAUAUUUAUGUUCAAUCUUGUAUGCAAUGCAAUGAAAACGUAUCCAAUCUUGUAUGUCGUGCAAUGAAUGGAUCUGAUCGAUCUUGUAUGCAGUGAAAUGAGUGUAUCCGAUCUUGUAUGCAGUGUUCCAUCGUGUAUGC
rnacentral:lncRNA from 1 species